AUGCGGUCAUUUUACUGUUUUUGCCGUGAACUUGGGGAGCUUGGGACAGAGUAUGGUGUCAAUAAUCAGUAUAUACCAGAACAAUAUUUUUGUGAUAUUGUAUAUACUGACUUAGUGAUAGUGGAGUAUUUACCACAUUUUUUCCAUGGACUUUAUACUGCAUUUUUGAAGGGGAGCCUUGGCGCAGUGGUAAAGCUGCUGCCUUGUGACCAUGAGGUCAUGGGUUCAAGUCCUGGAAACAGCCUCUUACAGAAAUGUAGGGAAAGGCUGCGUACUAUAGACCCAAAGUGGUCGGACCCUUCCCUGGACCCUGCGCAAGCGGGAGCUACAUGCACCAGGUUGCCCUAA
rnacentral:rRNA from 1 species